CACCCCCGCCCGCGGCUGCCGUUUCUUUCUCCCUCCCCUCCGCUCGCCGAGAACCUGCAGGCUGAGGCCCGGCCCACCCACCCACUCCGAAGCCAUGGGCUCCUCCUACGACCCGUCCCCGUCCCCCCGGCACCGUUGCUGACGACUUCCCCUUCUACCUCUCCGACCUCGGCCCCGCCUCCCCCUCCCCUACCUCGACCUCCCGCCCACCCUGCAGCACGAGAAACCUCCGCAGCCGCAGCAGCUGCAACAGUUCCCCCAGCCCAACGGCGGGGCCGCAGCAUCGCCGGAGGACAUGGUCCUCCCCUUCAUCUCCCGCAUGUGUACCGGUGCCGUCUCCCUCGUGCGCCGCUCCACCCCGCGCUCGUCGCCGUCGACGAUGUCGGCCUCGGGAGGGCCGACGAUGUGGGGGAUGGCGAGCAGUGGCGCCUAGCGGUAGCCGACCUCUCCCGGAGGCUCGCCGCGGCCACGCGCACGCGGGACGAGGCGCUGGAGGAUAUCACGUGCCUGAGGAACUCCGCCUUCCCCAUCGACGCCUUCCUCCGCGCCGUCUCCACCGCGCGCGCCGUCGUGCGGAACCUCGCACGCGCUGUCCACGCACCUGCACAGCCCCACCAGCCCCAGCCCGAACCUCGAGAGCUUCCUCAACCGCGCCUUCCACGCCGACUUCGAGCUGGACACCGACGCCGAGGCCAAAUUACUUUAUGAUCCGAACUGAUUUCCCCUCCAGAACACUAGGGACCGGUGCGUGCUCCCGCCGUCCGCCCGCCCAUUUGGCCACAGCUCCAACACCGAGGGCAUGAAUCUUCAGAACACUAGGGACGUCGAGAUCAAGAGCACGAGCGUCGGCUGCGGCGAUGACUGCGUGUCGAUAGAGACUGGGUGCGCAACUGUUCAGAUUAAGUUAUGAAGAACAUUGUCUGCAACCAUGCCACGGAAUCAGGGAGCAUGUGGGGAAAUUAUUUGAGUUAGGGUAACCUCUAGCAUGAUCAGGACAGAAGGAUAGAGCACACGCCAAGUUGAAGAGCCAGUCUCAACUCCACACUAUUCCUUUGGCUUGUGCUGCCUGGAACAAUAUGCUAUUUUUGCAAAAGUUUCUUUUUUACGUGCCUUUUAUUGAUGUGUAGAUACACCAAGAAAGGAGUUACUGUUAAUUGGUGUGCUGAGCCACACAUAUCCUUUGCUUCCAGAAUAGAAUUCAUCUGAAUAAGACCAUCGUUGGCUACAGGCUAUAGACAUGUCUUUUGUUUGUCUGGUAGAGAAUAAAUAGAUAAUUCCAAGGAUCAUGUAGAUAAAGGCACAAACAAGCAAGUUAUGAUGCGGAUGAGAUACAGUGUUGUAAACAAACAUUUGGAUAUCCCUGGAUGGACGCUAACUAUACUUCA